AGAGUUUGAUCCUGGCUCAGAACGAACGCUGGCGGCAGGCCUAAUACGUGCAAGUCGAACGGCUGUAGCAAUACAGCAGUGGCAGACGGGUGAGUAACACGUGGGAACCUACCUAGGGGUACGGAAUAACGCAGGGAAACUUGUGCUAAUACCGUAUACGACCUCAGGGUGAAAGAUUUAUCGCCCCUAGAUGGGCCCGCGUUGGAUUAGCUAGUUGGUGGGGUAAAGGCUCACCAAGGCGACGAUCCAUAGCUGGUCUGAGAGGAUGAUCAGCCACACUGGGACUGAGACACGGCCCAGACUCCUACGGGAGGCAGCAGUAGGGAAUCUUGGACAAUGGGCGCAAGCCUGAUCCAGCCAUGCCGCGUGUGUGAUGAAGGCCCUAGGGUUGUAAAGCACUUUCGCCAGGG
rnacentral:rRNA from 1 species